CUGGAGGAGUCCGUGGAGCCCAGGUCAGGACCUGGCUCCAAGCCCAUCUCCAUUUGCAGAUGCCCAGGUCUUGGCAUCCCAGAGGAAACACAAGCUCCCUGGCAGAAGGGACGGCAUCUUAAAUCCAACCCCAAUGACCCACAGUCUCAUCUGGAGGUGGGCUCCAGGAUCCAGUGCAGUCCACCAUCUGCCACAUCUUCUAACUAAGUGAUGCCCCUCCAGCUCCUGGGUUGAAUGUGGUGAUGACAAAUUUCUUAUUGCCUAUGUUUGCACCAAGCUCAAGAUUCAUCUUUACAGUAAAAUUACUGCUGACAUCUGUCUGGGAGAAGAUUCAGCCUCAACAUGCUGCAAGGAGGAAUCACAGGCACCCUUUUCCAGCUUGGUCCAGAGGAAUUAUUCUCAGCAAAGUCUGGGACUGGCCUGAAGGAGACAGACAUCUCCAGGUAGAGGGAGCAUCCUGCUGUUCUCUGGUAAAUCAAAGAGGAACAGGCGGCUCCUGCCCCCCUCAUGCCUGGCCUGACCCCAGCCUUUCAUGUGCAGCGGCCACAGGGAGGAGAGAACGCACAAAACCAGAACAAACCCCCCAAAGUAAAGGCUUAAAAUGAAACCAUUUCACAGGGACAAUACUCUGUUCUUCUUUAAACUCUACCCAAGAACAAAUGGGAGUCUUUUUUUCAGUGGAAAGACUGGAUUUGGGCUUUUAUCCUCAGAGGCCUUUAUUUGGGGUACCUCUCCCACCUCCACUCCUUUCAUUAUUUCAGAACUUCUUAGAGGCUGGGGUGGGGGCGGGGAGGUGGACAGGAGCCUCCAACCUGCCCCAGGUGGGGACCCACAGCCUGGGUCUGGGGGUGCUUGGUCUUGGGCCAACUUGGGUUGGGGGAAUAAUGAAGGGUCAGCCUUUGUCU
ensembl:lncRNA